AUAACUGAGGAGAAGCAGCCCGUCACUCUGCUGUGUCCCCCGUCUGUCCCUGUGGACGGUGCAGUGACGUGGAUCAGAGACACAAACGGACACAGAGUUGAUCUUCUGACGGUUGAUGCUGACGGACACACGAGGCACGACGAUGACCGGCUCAGACGAUACAGGAGAUUGGCAGAUAAGUCACUUUACAUUUACAAAGCUACCGUCUCAGACACUGGAAGAUACUUCUGUAAUAAUAAACCAGCUGUGGACGUGACGGUGAUCCCAAAAGGUAACAUCAAAGUUCUUCCAAGUGAUCAAGUAAAAUCAAAUAUUUAUCUAUAAAACUGCAAAAACUGCCAAACUGUCUCUGCUGUCUCUCCACGUCUCAUCACAGUCAGAAUAAUGUCACAACAUUUAAACUUUACAUCAUUAGUUCAAAUGGAGCUCCUCACCAAAGCAAACUCAAAUGAAAAGCAUUAGACUGAUUAUUUAUUUUUUUACACAUCAUCUUCCUCUGCUCUGAACCUCAUUCAGGAACUUAUUUGUGGCAAAUAAUUGAAAUUAAAAUCAGUCAGUUAGUUUCUCGUACGGCCUGACUGACUUCAUCCUGAAUUCAUGCGUUUAGUUUAUGACGGUACAUUAUAACACAUGACGAUGUCUGUUUGUGGUGUGCAGGAACAACCAGACUCGCUGCAGAGAGGACCACCAUCACUCUGACCUGCCCUUGUGAUGCUGGAGGAUCAACAUGGAGCAGAGAGACCGGUCAAAUAAAACACCAAGGACGGUUUGAUGUUUCAGCUGUGGACAAGACGUUGACUGUAAGAGACGUGCAGCCUGGUGACUCUGGACUUUACUACUGUGAUGGAAAACCUGCUGCAUAUCUGAUUGUGACCAAAGAUGAGACGUCUGAGGGAGGGAACAAGACACCACCAACAACUGCACCCGUAACACCACCGCAGGCAAACAUCGAGCCAACUACAGCACGGAAACGAAGACGAAAGAAAAAGGACAAGACGAGUAAGAUGAAGCAGAUCCAAAGUGUUCAGUUCACGAAAAGAUGAUUUUAUCAAAAGAUGCAACAAAGAGACAUAAAUGAACUCAAAGGAUGAAGGAAGCCUGAAAGCCUAAAAUGCAACUUGGAGUGAUGGAAGUAUUCCAGCCGACCGCAGGCUCCUGGCCUCAGACAUGUGGGAGGUCCAGACUGAAGGAGACACUGAAUGUUUGAAGGUAAGAAGGCAGCUGCAGUGCCACCAGCAACAACUGUACCCUCUACAACACCGACAAGACCAGGACAAAUAAAUAAAGGUGUGAGCGCUGAUUGUAACUGGUGAUGGAUGAAGGUCUCAUCAUGAAUGCUUCCUGUCUUCCAACUGCUCCGUACCUGUGGCUAAGUGUCCGUAUGGUGAUCGUAAUACUGGGUUUAAUCGUCAUGGUCAGCGUCACUGUCGCUAUCUGGAGAAAAGCUCGACAGAAGAAGCAGCAGCAGAACGGAAACAGACAAUGAUCUCUGAUCAGAAACAGAACGACAGUCAACGGUCAACCUGCUGUCAGCGUUUGUACAGCGACCACAACAGAAAGCAGCGAUGUCCCGCUGAAACCACAACUACUGUGAAGACUGCUGCUCGCUUUGUAUUCAGAACACCAAACACGAGAACACAAUAAGCUCUUCUCACCUGUUUGCUUUAAAUCUACAGUCUGUAAGAACAAUGGACUGAAGCAGUUUGCCUUGUGCUCCUGCUUCCCCGUAAAUGAGCCGAUAUUUGCAACACAUUCCUAUCACUCCUGUCCACUCUCAGAAAUCUGGUAAAGUAUUCACAUUGUAGUGCGAUCAAAGACAUCGUCACACCAAUCGAAUGCAUACGGUGAACGCUGCAACCUAUAAAACUGCUUCAGUGCUGCUUUACGUUGUCCUGUUGGAGCCGUUUAGCCGCUUACUUAGCUGAGCUAACAUGAGCUAUCAGAGCUGCAGCAGACUUGCUGCUUCUGCAAACAAAAGAACCAGCGAAUAAGAAAGUAAAACACAGAAAACUGAACUUCACUGUUAAUGAUGUCACAGAUGUUUCACAUUAUAUUCAAUGCAUAACAAUAACAGCACAGAGCCACUGAUGAACUGUACAAGUUUUCUCUGCACGAAGGGAAACGCCUGCACGUCUUCUGCACUUUGAUGGUGUUUUGACUGUGAACUCGUCCUCCAGCUCCUCCUCACCUGUGGCAGGUGUUUCCUCGUCUGCCGGUUGCAUUGCUUCAAGAUGAAAAUGGCUCAUUUGCUGUCUUUCUGAGAGUGAGAAGAGAGCAUCAGUGCAUUCUUCUGACAAUCUGUCAUAGAAAUGAAGAUGUAUGAAUAAAAAUGUCAGACUUUAUUAAAA